AUUGAACGCUGGCGGCAUGCCUUACACAUGCAAGUCGAACGGUAACAGGUCUUCGGAUGCUGACGAGUGGCGAACGGGUGAGUAAUACAUCGGAACGUGCCUGGUAGUGGGGGAUAACUACUCGAAAGAGUGGCUAACACCGCAUGAGAUCUACGGAUGAAAGCAGGGGAUCGCAAGACCUUGUGCUACUAGAGCGGCCGAUGGCAGAUUAGGUAGUUGGUGGGAUAAAAGCUUACCAAGCCGACGAUCUGUAGCUGGUCUGAGAGGACGAUCAGCCACACUGGGACUGAGACACGGCCCAGACUCCUACGGGAGGCAGCAGUGGGGAAUUUUGGACAAUGGGCGAAAGCCUGAUCCAGCAAUGCCGCGUGCAGGAUGAAGGCCUUCGGGUUGUAAACUGCUUUUGUACGGAACGAAAAGCCCUGGGUUAAUACCCUGGGGUCAUGACGGUACCGUAAGAAUAAGCACCGGCUAACUACGUGCCAGCAGCCGCUGUAACAC
rnacentral:rRNA from 1 species